rnacentral:rRNA from 1 species
GACGGAGGAUGCAAGCGUUAUCCGGAAUGAUUGGGCGUAAAGCGUCCGCAGGUGGCAGUUCAAGUCUGCUGUCAAAGACCGGGGCUUAACUUCGGAAAGGCAGUGGAAACUGAACAGCUAGAGUAUGGUAGGGGCAGAGGGAAUUCCCGGUGUAGCGGUGAAAUGCGUAGAUAUCGUAAGGAAGACCAGUGGCGAAGGCGAGUCUCUGGACAGUUACUGACGCUGAGGCACGAAGGCCAGGGGAGCAAACGGG